CAGCCGUAAACAAUGUGCGUUAGGUGUGUCGGUAACCACGCGUUACUGAUGCGCCGAAGAGAAAUCGUGAAACGCACCACCUGGGAAGUGCGGUCGCAAGGCUGAAACUUAAAGGAAUUGGCGGGGGAGCACCACAACAGGUGGAGCCUGCGGUUUAAUUGGAUUCAACGCCGGACAUCUCACCGGAUAAGACAGCUGAAUGAUUGUCAAUCUGAAGGUUUUACAUGACUAGCUGAGAGGAGGUGCAUGGCGUCAGUGACU
rnacentral:rRNA from 1 species